GUCAUAGCUCAGUGGUAGAGCAUCCUGCUUUCCAUGCAGAAGGUCCUAGAUUCAAUCCCCAGCAUCUCCA